GCGGUGUUCGCACAACGGUCAGUGCGGCGGCUUCCCAAGCCGCAGACGCGGGUCCGACUCCCGUACACCGCU
rnacentral:tRNA from 1 species